rnacentral:rRNA from 1 species
UGAAGAUGGUAUAUUGAGUGAGGAACAUUUUCAUUUUCCCCGAAAAAUAGCGGCUCCUGCGACAGAAACAAGUGUCUGGGUUCCGCCGGCGGGGUUGCAGGGCCGCGCAUCCGGGGGCUGCCGCCCCCGGGCGCAGGUCCGGCUGGGGAGCGGAACGGCAUGGGAGGGCCGGCCGCAGCGGGUGACAGCCCCGUACGCGAACCCAGACCGGACGGCGCGACGCGGUCCCUGAGUAGGGCCGGGCACGUGAAACCCGGUCCGAACCUGGGUGGACCACCAUCCAAGCCUGAGUACUACCCUGUGACCGAUAGCGCACCAGUACCGUGAGGGAAAGGUGAAAAGCACCCCGGGAGGGGAGUGAAACAGUACCUGAAACCGUGCGCCCACGAGCAGUCGGAGCACCUAUACGGUGUGACGGCGUGCCUUUUGUAGAAUGAGCCAGCGAGUCGCUGGCGCGGGGCGAGGUUAACCGAAAGGGAGCCGGAGCGAAAGCGAGCCUUAACAGGGCGACUUGAGUCCCGCGCCGCGGACGCGAAGCCGGGUGAGCUAUCCGUGGGCAGGCUGAAGCGGGGGUAAGACCCCGUGGAGGGCCGAACGCACGUCGGUUGAAAACGGCGGCGAUGACCUGCGGAUAGGGGUGAAAGGCCAAUCAAACCCGGAGAUAUCUCGUUCUCCCCGAAAUAGCUUUAGGGCUAGCGUCGCGCGUUCACCGCCGGAGGUAGAGCACCGGAUGGACGAGGGGGCUUCGCCGCCUACCGAAUCCAACCGAACUCCGAAUGCCGGCGGCCCAGAGCGCGGCAGUCAGAGCAUGUGGGCUAAGCUGUGUGCUCGAGAGGGAAACAGCCCGGACCGCCCGCUAAGGUCCCCAAGUUCCAGCCGAGUGGCAAAGGAUGUGCGUCCGCCCAGACAACCAGGAUGUUGGCUUAGAAGCAGCCAUCCAUUCAAAGAGUGCGUAACAGCUCACUGGUCGAGUGGACAUGCGCCGACAAUACACGGGGCUAAGCUGGACACCGAAGCGGCGGGAUUUUAUCUAUAUAGAAUCGGUAGGGGAGCUUCCCAUGGGCGGGGAAGCCGCCGGGCGACCGGCGGUGGAGCGCAUGGGAGUGAGAAUGCUGGCAUGAGUAGCGAGAGACGAGAGAGUAACUCGUCCGCCGUGAACCCGAGGUUUCCUGGGCAAGGCUAAUCCUCCCAGGGUCAGUCGGGGGCUAAGGCGAGGCCGGAAGGCGUAGCCGACGCGCAGCAGGCAGACAUUCCUGCACCGCGCACGCGGCGCUACGACCGACGGGGCGACGGAUGGGGGUGGCUCGGCGGGGUUCUGGACGUCCCCGUGAUGGAGCGCGGCCCGCGGACCAGGGAAAUCCGGUCCGCAUACAGGGCGAGGCUCCGGACGAAGCACUUAAGCGAAGCGAGUGAGCCCGAGGUCCCUAGAAAAACCCCUAGGCAGGCGCGUGCGCGCCCGUACCGCAAACCGACACAGGUGGGUGGGUAGAACAUACCGAGGCGAUCGGGUCAACCAUGGUCAAGGAACUCGGCACAAUGGCCCCGUAACUUCGGGAGAAGGGGUGCCCGCGCGUACGUGAACGGACUUGCUCCGGGAGCGGAGGCGGGCCGCAGUGGAGAGGCCCAAGCGACUGUUUACCAAAAACACAGGACUCUGCAGAAGCCGCAAGGCGACGUAUAGGGUCUGACGCCUGCCCGGUGCCGGAAGGUCACGCGGAGGAGUUAGCCGUAUCGGCGAAGCCCCGAAGCCAAGCCCCGGUAAACGGCGGCCGUAACUAUAACGGUCCUAAGGUAGCGAAAUUCCUUGUCGGGUAAGUUCCGACCUGC